GAUGAACGCUGGCGGCGUGCCUAAUACAUGCAAGUCGAGCGAACAGACGAGGAGCUUGCUCCUCUGACGUUAGCGGCGGACGGGUGAGUAACACGUGGAUAACCUACCUAUAAGACUGGGAUAACUUCGGGAAACCGGAGCUAAUACCGGAUAACAUGUUGAACCGCAUGGUUCAACAGUGAAAGACGGUCUUGCUGUCACUUAUAGAUGGAUCCGCGCCGCAUUAGCUAGUUGGUAAGGUAACGGCUUACCAAGGCAACGAUGCGUAGCCGACCUGAGAGGGUGAUCGGCCACACUGGAACUGAGACACGGUCCAGCCUCCUACGGGAGGCAGCAGUAGGGAAUCUUCCGCAAUGGGCGAAAGCCUGACGGAGCAACGCCGCGUGAGUGAAGAAGGUCUUCGGAUCGUAAAACUCUGUUAUUAGGGAAGAACAAAUGUGUAAGUAACUAUGCACGUCUUGACGGUACCUAAUCAGAAAGCCACGGCUAACUACGUG
rnacentral:rRNA from 1 species